AGUGAACGCUGGCGGCAGGCCUAACACAUGCAAGUCGAGCGGCAGCGCGUCCGACCACCCUCGGGUGGUCGGAUGGCGGCGAGCGGCGGACGGGUGAGGAAUGCAUCGGAAUCUGCCUCGUUGUGGGGGAUAACGUAGGGAAACUUACGCUAAUACCGCAUACGACCUACGGGUGAAAGUGGGGGACCUUCGGGCCUCACGCGAUGAGAUGAGCCGAUGCCGGAUUAGCUAGUUGGCGGGGUAAAGGCCCACCAAGGCGACGAUCCGUAGCUGGUCUGAGAGGAUGAUCAGCCACACUGGAACUGAGACACGGUCCAGACUCCUACGGGAGGCAGCAGUGGGGAAUAUUGGACAAUGGGGGCGAACCCUGAUCCAGCCAUGCCGCGUGUGUGAAGAAGGCCUC
rnacentral:rRNA from 1 species